CAUUCACGGAGAGUUUGAUCCUGGCUCAGGACGAACGCUGGCGGCGUGCUUAACACAUGCAAGUCGAACGAUGAACCGCUUUCGGGCGGGGAUUAGUGGCGAACGGGUGAGUAACACGUGGGCAAUCUGCCCUGCACUCUGGGACAAGCCCUGGAAACGGGGUCUAAUACCGGAUAUGACUGUCCAUCGCAUGGUGGAUGGUGUAAAGCUCCGGCGGUGCAGGAUGAGCCCGCGGCCUAUCAGCUUGUUGGUGAGGUAGUGGCUCACCAAGGCGACGACGGGUAGCCGGCCUGAGAGGGCGACCGGCCACACUGGGACUGAGACACGGCCCAGACUCCUACGGGAGGCAGCAGUGGGGAAUAUUGCACAAUGGGCGAAAGCCUGAUGCAGCGACGCCGCGUGAGGGAUGACGGCCUUCGGGUUGUAAACCUCU
rnacentral:rRNA from 1 species